GACGAACGCUGGCGGCGUGCCUAACACAUGCAAGUCGAACGGAGAUAUGCGAGCGAGGCCUUCGGGCGGAGAUUGCAUAUUUUAGUGGCGGACGGGCGAGUAACGCGUGAGCAACCUGCCCUUCAGAGGGGGAUAACGGCUGGAAACGGCCGCUAAUACCGCAUGACAUAUACACAAGGCAUCUUGAGUAUAUCAAAGGAGGAAUCCGCUGAAGGAUGGGCUCGCGUCCGAUUAGCUGGUUGGUGAGGUAACGGCUCACCAAGGCGACGAUCGGUAGCCGAACUGAGAGGUUGAUCGGCCGCAUUGGGACUGAGACACGGCCCAGACUCCUACGGGAGGCAGCAGUGGGGGAUAUUGCACAAUGGAGGAAACUCUGAUGCAGCGACGCCGCGUGGGGGAAGAAGGUCUUCGGAUUGUAAACCUCAGUAGUCAGGGAAGAAGCAAGUGACGGUACCUGAAGAGUAAGCUCCGGCUAACUACGUGCCAGCAGCCGCGGUAAUACGUAGGGAGCGAGCGUUGUCCGGAAUUACUGGGUGUAAAGGGUGCGUAGGCGGGUCAGCAAGUCAGGCGUGAAAUACCGGGGCUCAACUCCGGGGCUGCGCUUGAAACUGUUGGUCUUGAGUGAAGUAGAGGCAGGCGGAAUUCCUAGUGUAGCGGUGAAAUGCGUAGAUAUUAGGAGGAACACCAGUGGCGAAGGCGGCCUGCUGGGCUUUAACUGACGCUGAUGCACGAAAGCAUGGGGAGCAAACAGG
rnacentral:rRNA from 1 species